UUUAAUUCAAUUUUACAAAAUUUGAUGGGUUAAUUGGGUAAACCAUUGAAACCAUUAACCAUUACAACCCAACUCAUUUUAGUCAUCAAACCAAUUGACUCAUCAACUCAUUUGACCCAUCAACUCAUUUGAGUCAAAAUUUUCAACUCAUUAGGGUUCAUGGGUUGAGUUGAGUUGAGUUGACACAUGAAUUUUGACCCAUUUUGACACCCCUAUCAAUACCUAACAAUCCAAUCAUAUUUAAAAUGAAUAUACAGUAGAAACUCUAUUAAUAAUGUUGGGACCAUGAAAUUUUAUUAAUUUAUAGUGAUAUUAAUUUAUCGUAUAAAUUAAUAUAUAUUAAUUUAUCGUAU
rnacentral:sRNA from 1 species